rnacentral:rRNA from 1 species
GCCCUUACGGGGCGCAGCAGGCGCGAAACCUCCGCAAUGUGAGAAAUCGCGACGGGGGGAUCCCAAGUGCCAUUCUUAACGGGAUGGCUUUUCUUUAGUGUAAAAAGCUUUUGGAAUAAGAGCUGGGCAAGACCGGUGCCAGCCGCCGCGGUAAUUCAAGGGC